CAGAUGACUCUCGACAACAGAUAUCUCAGCUCUCGCAUCGAUGAAGAAUGUAGCGAAAUGCGAUAGUCAAUGUGAAUUGCAAAAUUCUGUGAACCAUCGAGUCUUUGAACGCAAGUUGCACCCGAAGCUCUCAGGCCGAGAACACGUCUGUCUAGGCAUCACGC
rnacentral:rRNA from 1 species